GGUUGCGGCGGAGGGUUAGUAACGCGUGGGAACGUACCCAAAGGUACGGGAUAGCAUCGGGAAACUGGUGGUAAUACCGUAUGUGCCCUUCGGGGGAAAGAAUUUCGCCUUUGGAUCGGCCCGCGUAAGAUUAGGUAGUUGGUGAGGUAACGGCUCACCAAGCCUACGAUCUUUAUCUGGUUUGAGAGGAUGAUCAGAAACACUGGGACUGAGACACGGCCCAGACUCCUACGGGAGGCAGCAGUGGGGAAUCUUGGACAAUGGGCGCAAGCCUGAUCCAGCCAUGCCGCGUGAGUGAAGAAGGCCUUAGGGUUGUAAAGCUCUUUCAGGGGUGAGGAUUAUGACAGUAACCCCAGAAGAAGCACCGGCUAACUUCGUGCCAGCAGCCGCGGUAAUACGAAGGGUGCAAGCGUUGUUCGGAAUCACUGGGCGUAAAGGGCGUGUAGGCGGAUGAACAAGUUAGAGGUGAAAGCCCCGGGCUCAACCUGGGAACUGCCUUUAAAACUGUUCAUCUAGAAUCCGGGAGGGGAGUGUGGAAUUCCUAGUGUAGAGGUGAAAUUCGUAGAUAUUAGGAAGAACACCGGUGGCGAAGGCGACACUCUGGACCGGUAUUGACGCUGAAGCGCGAAAGCGUGGG
rnacentral:rRNA from 1 species